GACGAACGCUGGCGGCGUGCUUAACACAUGCAAGUCGAACGGUAAGGCCCUUCGGGGUACACGAGUGGCGAACGGGUGAGUAACACGUGGGUGAUCUGCCCUGCACUUCGGGAUAAGCCUGGGAAACUGGGUCUAAUACCGGAUAGGACCACUGCCUGCAUGGGUGGUGGGGGAAAGCUUUUGCGGUGUGGGAUGGGCCCGUGGCCUAUCAGCUUGUUGGUGGGGUGAUGGCCUACCAAGGCGACGACGGGUAGCCGGCCUGAGAGGGUGACCGGCCACACUGGGACUGAGAUACGGCCCAGACUCCUACGGGAGGCAGCAGUGGGGAAUAUUGCACAAUGGGCGCAAGCCUGAUGCAGCGACGCCGCGUGAGGGAUGACGGCCUUCGGGUUGUAAACCUCUUUCAGCACCGACGAAGCGCAAGUGACGGUAGGUGCAGAAGAAGGACCGGCCAACUACGUGCCAGCCGCCGCAGUAA
rnacentral:rRNA from 1 species